UGGGGAAUAUUGCGCAAUGGGCGAAAGCCUGACGCAGCCACGCCGCGUGUGCGAUGAAGGCCUUAGGGUCGUAAAGCACUGUGGAUGGAGAAGAAUAAACCUGGUGAAGAGCCAGGCCUGACGGUAUCCAUUUAGCAAGCACCGGCUAACUCCGUGCCAGCAGCCGCGGUAAUACGGAGGGUGCUAACGUUGCUCGGAAUCAUUGGGCGUAAAGCGCACGUAGGCGGCUAUGCAAGCUGGAUGUGAAAGCCCAGGGCUCAACCCUGGAAGUGCAUCCAGAACUGCAUAGCUUGAGUACCAGAGGGGGUCGGAGAAUUCCCGGUGUAGAGGUGAAAUUCGUAGAUAUCGGGAGGAAUACCAGAGGCGAAGGCGCCGGCCUGGAUGGAUACUGACGCUGAGGUGCGAAAGCGUGGGGAGCGAACGGGAUUAGAUACCCCGGUAGUCCACGCUGUAAACGAUGAGUGCUAGACGGCGGAAGAUUGACCCUUUCGUUGUCGUAGCUAACGCGUUAAGCACUCCGCCUGGGGAGUACGGUCGCAAGACUA
rnacentral:rRNA from 1 species